AGUCCAGCUGUCUGGAUUUCAGCAGCAGCAGAGUUGGAUAGAGAAGGGCACAGGGAUCACUCGGGGAAAGGAGAAGAGAGGAGGAGGAGGGGGAGGAGGACCACGACGAUGUGGAGCAGAGGCAGGGUGGAGACAGCGAUGAUGCUGCGAUUGUUCUGUGGUCACUGCGGUUGUCUUCCCAGCCUUUGGACAUCAGUGACCAUCAUCACCCGCUGACAGCGAUGACUGCAUUGUUUGACUCGGAGUUUAUUUACACGACACAGUGAUAAGAUGUGAAACUGCACGGCUGUGUUAUUUUUUUGCAUUGUUUCAAAGGUUUACACUGACACAAAGCAAACUUGUCAUGGGUUUGGCCGUGCGGCCGUUUGUAUAGUUCCACAUAAUGUUGUUUGUCUUAAUAAAAGAAUUCAGAGUUGGUCUGAACGCACGCACACAAA